rnacentral:rRNA from 1 species
UACGUAGGGAGCAAGCGUUGUCCGGAAUCAUUGGGCGUAAAGCGCGCGUAGGUGGCCUCGUAAGUCCGCUGUGAAAGUCAAAGGCUCAACCUUUGAAAGCCGGUGGAUACUGUGGGGCUAGAGUACGGAAGAGGCGAGUGGAAUUCCUGGUGUAGCGGUGGAAUGCGCAGAUAUCAGGAGGAACACCAAUAGCGAAGGCAGCUCGCUGGGACGUUACUGACACUGGAGGCGCGAAAGCGUGGGGAGCGAACAGG